CCUACGGGAGGCAGCAGUGAGGAAUAUUGGUCAAUGGGCGCGAGUCUGAACCAGCCAUGUCGCGUGAAGGAUGACUGCCCUACGGGUUGUAAACUUCUUUUAUAAAGGAAUAAAGUGAGGCACGCGUGCCUUUUUGUAUGUACUUUAUGAAUAAGGAUCGGCUAACUCCGUGCCAGCAGCCGCGGUAAUACGGAGGAUCCGAGCGUUAUCCGGAUUUAUUGGGUUUAAAGGGAGCGUAGACGGGUUGUUAAGUUAGUUGUGAAAGUUUGCGGCUCAACGGUGAAAUUGCAUUUGAUACUGGCAGUCUUGAGUGCAGUUGAGGUAGGCGGAAUGCGUGGUGUAGCGGUGAAAUGCUUAGAGAUCACGAAGAACUCCGAUUGCGAAGGCAGCUUACUAAACUGCCACUGACAUUGAGGCACGAAAGUGUGGGGAGCAAACAGGAUUAGAUACCCCAGUAGUC
rnacentral:rRNA from 1 species